rnacentral:rRNA from 1 species
GACGAACGCUGGCGGCGUGCUUAACACAUGCAAGUCGAACGGAAAGGCCCUGCUUUUGUGGGGUGCUCGAGUGGCGAACGGGUGAGUAACACGUGAGUAACCUGCCCUUGACUUUGGGAUAACUUCAGGAAACUGGGGCUAAUACCGGAUAGGAGCUCCUGCUGCAUGGUGGGGGUUGGAAAGUUUCGGCGGUUGGGGAUGGACUCGCGGCUUAUCAGCUUGUUGGUGGGGUAGUGGCUUACCAAGGCUUUGACGGGUAGCCGGCCUGAGAGGGUGACCGGCCACAUUGGGACUGAGAUACGGCCCAGACUCCUACGGGAGGCAGAAGUGGGGAAUAUUGCACAAUGGGCGGAAGCCUGAUGCAGCAACGCCGCGUGCGGGAUGACGGCUUUCGGGUUGUAAACCGCUUUCGCCUGUGACGAAGCGUGAGUGACGGUAAUGGGUAAAGAAGCACCGGCUAACUACGUG